rnacentral:rRNA from 1 species
GAUGAACGCUAGCGGCAGGCCUAAUACAUGCAAGUCGAGGGGUAGUGGUUGCUUGCAGCCAUGAGACCGGCGCACGGGUGCGUAACGCGUAUGCAACCUACCUUCAUCUGGGGGAUAGCCCGGAGAAAUCCGGAUUAAUACCGCAUAAAAUCACAGUACGGCAUCGUACAAUGAUUAAACAUUUAUGGGAUGGAGAUGGGCAUGCGUGUCAUUAGGUAGUUGGCGGGGUAACGGCCCACCAAGACCGCGAUGACUAGGGGAUCUGAGAGGAUGACCCCCCACACUGGUACUGAGACACGGACCAGACUCCUACGGGAGGCAGCAGUAAGGAAUAUUGGUCAGUGGGCGCAAGCCUGAACCAGCCAUGCCGCGUGCAGGAAGACGGCCCUCUGGGUUGUAAACUGCUUUUAUUCGGGAAUAAACCUGCUUACGUGUAAGUAGCUGAAUGUACCGAAGGAAUAAGGAUCGGCUAACUCCGUGCCAGCCGCCGCGGUAAGAC